GGGAUAACAUAGGGAAACUUAUGCUAAUACCGGAUAGGGUUUUGCUUCGCCUGAAGCGAAACGGAAAGAUGGCGCAAGCUAUCACUUACAGAUGGGCCUGCGGCGCAUUAGCUAGUUGGUGAGGUAACGGCUCACCAAGGCGACGAUGCGUAGCCGACCUGAGAGGGUGACCGGCCACACUGGGACUGAGACACGGCCCAGACUCCUACGGGAGGCAGCAGUAGGGAAUUUUCCACAAUGGACGAAAGUCUGAUG
rnacentral:rRNA from 1 species